GACGAACGCUGGCGGCGUGCUUAACACAUGCAAGUCGAACGGAAAGGCCCUGCUUUUGUGGGGUGCUCGAGUGGCGAACGGGUGAGUAACACGUGAGUAACCUGCCCUUGACUUUGGGAUAACUUCAGGAAACUGGGGCUAAUACCGGAUAGGAGCUCCUGCUGCAUGGUGGGGGUUGGAAAGUUUCGGCGGUUGGGGAUGGACUCGCGGCUUAUCAGCUUGUUGGUGGGGUAGUGGCUUACCAAGGCUUUGACGGGUAGCCGGCCUGAGAGGGUGACCGGCACCAGGGGAAUGGGGAUACGCCCCGGACCCACCCGGGGGCAAGGGGGGGGGAUAAAGGGAAAGGGGGCGGAGGCCGUAGGGCAGAACGCCCGGUGGGGAAAGACGGCCUUGGGGGUUAAACCCGGUUUCCCCUGGAAGCAAAGUGGGUGACGGGAAAUGGGAAAAAAACCACGGGUAAACUAGGG
rnacentral:rRNA from 1 species